rnacentral:rRNA from 1 species
CCUACGGGGUGCAGCAGUGGGGAAUAUUGGACAAUGGGGGGAACCCUGAUCCAGCCAUGCCGCGUGUGUGAAGAAGGCCCUCGGGUUGUAAAGCACUUUCAGUGAGGAAGAACGCCUGGUGGUUAAUACCCAUCAGGAAAGACAUCACUCACAGAAGAAGCACCGGCUAACUCCGUGCCAGCAGCCGCGGUAAUACGGAGGGUGCGAGCGUUAAUCGGAAUUACUGGGCGUAAAGCGCGCGUAGGUGGCUUGAUAAGCCGGUUGUGAAAGCCCCGGGCUCAACCUGGGAACGGCAUCCGGAACUGUCAAGCUAGAGUGCAGGAGAGGAAGGUAGAAUUCCCGGUGUAGCGGUGAAAUGCGUAGAGAUCGGGAGGAAUACCAGUGGCGAAGGCGGCCUUCUGGACUGACACUGACACUGAGGUGCGAAAGCGUGGGUAGCAAACAGGAUUAGAUACCCGUGUAGUC